ensembl:lncRNA
AAGCUUCUUUCUGGCUUAGUGUGUUAACUAUCGGUUUAGAACUGAGUGGGAGAAGUUAAGGCUAGUGCUGCAAUGAAAUUCUUAGAGCGUGGGGUUCAAAAGCACAGCACUGGCAUCUGCUUGCCUUCCGGUGAGGGCCUUAUAUUGCGUCAUCUCAUGGUUGGAAGCAGAAGUGCAAGGUGGGAAAUGCAGAAGAGGUGAAACACAAGGAGCUGCCUCACUGUAUGACAACCACUCUCCUGGGAUCGAACUCGGGACCUUGUGCUUGAGAGGCAGGCGUCAUGCCACUGAGCUAAAUUACCGGUCAACAUCAACCUUUUGGAUCAAUUGUUUUGAUUAAAUAAAAUACAUAUGUGACUAUUCACUUUAAAGUGAUAAACUAACUUCACACUUAUGUAUUAAAUGAGUAUUUUGAGUGACUAUUAACUG